rnacentral:rRNA from 1 species
UACAGAGGUCCCAAGCGUUGUUCGGAUUCACUGGGCGUAAAGGGUGCGUAGGUGGCUUGGUAAGUUUGAUGUGAAAUCUCCGGGCUUAACCCGGAAAUGGCAUUGAAUACUAUUGAGCUGGAGGUUUGGAGGGGGGACUGGAAUUCUCGAUGUAGCAGUGAAAUGCGUAGAUAUCGUGAGGAAGAACCAGUGGCGAAGGCGGGUCUCUGGACAGUUCCUG